AGUGACUUGUCCAAGGUGACACAACUAGUAAGAAUUUGAAGGAAGAAUUUGAAUCCAAAUCUUCCUGACUCCAGGACAAUACUCUGUCAACAAAGUCCAUGCAGCCUCUCAUUUUGUGUUUGUUGUGUUCCAUCUUAAAAAAUCCCAAGAACAAAGUGAUUGUGACUUUCAGCUUUAGUUUCCAUAUUUGUAAUUACAAAGUGGAGUCAGGAAGCAUGGUGUGGAUGCCAAAAAAAAGUGGACCUUGAAAUAAAGAGAACCUGGGUUCAAGUUUGAUCUACAGCCCUCAGGCCAUAGGGAAAUGCCAAAUUUAAUCAUUCAAUCAACUAGUAUUAGUGCCUGUUAGGCAUCUGGCAUGGUGCUGAGGGCUGAAUCUAAAAAAAAAAAGUAUCUAUCCUAUGUACUUCCAUUGCAAUGGGGGAGACAAACUCACAAAUAUAUUUUUAAACAAGAUGUAUACAAAUGAAAUAUGAGAGAAACCAGGAGAGGCCUUCAUACUAGAUGUGGCAGAGGAACAUUCCGUGGAACAGGGACAGUCGCUAUCCAGGCAUUGAAAAAGGAAAUGCAGCACUGUGUGUGAAGAACAGCAAGAACACCAGUUUAUUCAGAUCUUAGAGAACAUGGAGGCACUCCAAGCUGGAUGGUCUUGUACCAGUGUCUCCCCUUUCUCAUCAUCAAUCACCAAAGUUCUUCAGGGAGACCUUGAGAGCAUCCUUGUAACACUUCUUCUGACCUCCAUGUGAACAUUUGUCUCGUGCUGCACUGCAGACUUCCUCUACUAUGCCCCAGCUCUUCAUCCCAAAGUCUCGCUGCAGCCCUGUGUUUCACACAUUGGAAGUACCCUCUGCCCCUGCGACUGCUGCUUCUGAUUGCAUGGCUCCUCCCAGGACUUCCAUUUAAGAAGGGCCUCCAGGCCAGCCAUGUCUCAUUCCUCUACAGGCUGGACUCUGGAUUCUAUCAUUCCCCUGUGACUGCCUUUGUCUGUCCCUCCUUCCCCAAAUUCCCCAUCCCCCACUUUUCAGCACUCAGUGCUUGGCAUAUAACAAGGGCUUAAUAAAUACUUCUUAUCAUUGA